rnacentral:rRNA from 1 species
CGGGGUGAGUAAUGUCUGGGAAACUGCCUGAUGGAGGGGGAUAACUACUGGAAACGGUAGCUAAUACCGCAUAACGUCGCAAGACCAAAGAGGGGGACCUUCGGGCCUCUUGCCAUCGGAUGUGCCCAGAUGGGAUUAGCUAGUAGGUGGGGUAACGGCUCACCUAGGCGACGAUCCCUAGCUGGUCUGAGAGGAUGACCAGCCACACUGGGACUGAGACACGGUCCAG